UCAGCUGAGGGGGCAAAGCGUGAGCUGUGAUUGCGAAUAGUUAUUUAAUUCCUAACCAUACCACGUGGAGCAUUGGCUACACGGCUGGAAAUGGUUCAACUUUGAGACUAUCGAUCCCUAAAGAACAAAUCUUAGAUACUAAUUACUAGUGCAGCUAGAAAUUAUGUCAACCUGGGAUGUGAAGACCGACAAUCGCUGAAACAUCUAUCCUAUGAGAACAUUUCUGAAUGGUACUCUGAAGUAUCCAUUCUAACCACAAAAGACCUUCAGGGAAGCAGAGAGAGAGAGACUCGGAUGAACUCUCCAACAGGAGGACUGACGAUUCCAACAGAGAUCACGACGACACACUGAGCUCCACACCCACUUCCCUUUGUCCACCACUUCCCUUUGUUUGGAAGGAGACUAACGUAAGUAAGUGUCAUGAAAGCCAGAAAACUCGGGAGGUUGGUGUGUCUUUCAGGCCCUCUGGAAAGUUCUAAAAUAUGCCCUGACUGCUGUGGUGGAGAAGGACGCAAAAUCUGACCCAUCACAUGACUCUUCAAGAGGGCCACUAGGCUCCAGAUCGCCUUCUGUGUUCAGAGCUCCUUGACGAGGAUCUACCCCAUCACACCGCUCUGAUGAAUCAUUAAUCAAAUAAAACAAUGGGCCUUUA